ACGCCACUUGCUGCCUCCCCUGGGGAAUUCAGAAGUAGAGAAAUGGGAUGGCCACAGAUGACCUGCACAGAGGGCUAACUGGAAGCACCUAGGUAAAGGGAUUUCACACCGGGGUCAGCAGAAUGCGACGGCAUAGUCCAGGCUAGCCCGGACGUUGUCCGCGGAGCAGACACAAAGCCCCCUCCCCGCGUGCAGCGCUGAUUCUGUUGAAUUAGUGCGGAUGAAGGAGUCCAUCGAGAAAGGCUGGUGGACGGCUAUAGACAUCUGUGUUGACGCUUCAUUUUCAGGGAAGCUGAGGGCUAAUCACUCAGCCUCCUUCUUAACCCUUUAUUGUGCCAAGAAAAUGUUUAUGGGAUGGCCUGCUGGUCAUAAACAAGCUGGUUCUUCCUCUAAUAUUCCCUGUGUACCUGAUCUCAGCAGUCAUCCUCCACGCCGCCCACCCGCAUCUCCUCCCCGUGGGCUCCCGGGUUCUGCCUUCUAUAGGUAGAACCUUCUCUCUCUAAAGGCUAAGCCAGUGAUGGUUGGCUCAUUCUCUUGGACGUGGCGGGUUGAGGAGUGGCAUCCGGUGUUGCCCGUGGCAUCUAGGAAGAUGGCUGCUGAGAACUUCUGGGAUUUCCGGAGAAGGCUUCUGCACCUACUACAGCUUCUGCUCCUGUUAAAGUGAUUUCUAGUAGGGAAUUCCUGUUGGAGUCUCCAGCCAAAUGCCUGUCACUUGGAAAAUUUCUGAUUCCUGAUGAAGAUGCAAAAAGAAGUCACCGGCCGCCAAACAGAAAUGAUGUCAUAAAGACAGUAAUGAGUUGUGCCUGUCCCAAAGCCAAAGUGACUUAUUCGCUAGCAACAAAGAGUAGUGGCUGACUAUCCCCAGAAAAAGAAUCCAAUUAGGUCUGUGAGGCCGAUGCCCUUGCUGAUCAAAGCACCUGGGAGCUUGUUAGAGAUGUAAGGCUGAGUCAGAACCCACAUCUUAACACGGUCCCCAGACAACACUCAGGCACUUGAGAUUUUGAGAAGCAUUUCCUUAGAUCAGCCCGAGACCAUCUAGUGGUGAGUGGGCCACGGUAGCUGCUGGAUAUUCGAAAUGAAGUAAUUUCCAGCAAGUGGGGAGGAAGCCCUAACUGGUCCAACAGGAACUGGCUCUUCUCUGGAAGUUCUCUGCUCAGAUGUCAUGAGGUCGCACCUAAGGUGUGGCGGCCAUAAUCAGAGAUUAUGUGCUGGCAGUUGGCUGUGCAGCCAGAGAGAAGCACUGGGUGGACACACUCCCUUGCCUCUGAGAGGCUGGCAUGUAGAAAGUAGAUAAGAGAUAAGAGUUGGGGGUAUGAUGCCUCAUGCCCCCCACAUAGUGGCAGUAGCAGAAGCCAAGGAGAUUUGAGCCCCAGGUAGACAGUUUGGUCUUCUUGACUCAGUUCCUUAUGAGUCCUUGGUCUCCCUCAGUGGUUUGGGUGACUCUCCUGUUUCCUUCUGAAUUGAGCCCUGCUAAAGAUAAUACCUCAGUAAACAUUUCUCCUACCUUCUCCCACCAGGAGAGCUUCUAGCAAGAGCCCGUUCCAGGGGUUUUAGAAACUCUGUAUCUUCAAGCCUAUCACCCCUGCUGCCCCAAAGUAGGAAGUAACCCCUUCUCCUAGGGCUGUGCCCCAUGGACACCAGAUCCAGACUGGCAAAACUUUAUUACUGUAUUCUCAUACGAGUGUUUCAAGGCAUAGUAACUAGACCAGAACCAAGCUAGUCAUCUCUGCCUCAGCCAGGGCUGCUCCUCCCACAGAAUCAGCCAAAUGGAUGAAGUUUGUGGGCUGUUUAAAGCAUAUGGUUUGCAAAUACUGUAAAGCCAAACACCACUUUUGGCGUUUAUUUACUGUAAUGUCUCACAUCACCUACUACCAAGCUUGCUGAUCAGGCCCACUUUGCCUCA